rnacentral:rRNA from 1 species
GAUGAACGCUAGCGAUAGGCUUAACACAUGCAAGUCGAGGGGCAGCAUGGUCUUAGCUUGCUAAGACUGAUGGCGACCGGCGCACGGGUGCGUAACGCGUAUGCAACUUGCCUCACAGAGGGGGAUAACCCGUCGAAAGACGGACUAAUACCGCGUACACUUGGGAUAGGGCAUCCUGACCCAAGGAAAUGAAAUUCGCUGUGAGAUAGGCAUGCGUCCCAUUAGCUAGUUGGUGAGGUAACGGCUCACCAAGGCGACGAUGGGUAGGGGAACUGAGAGGUUGAACCCCCACACUGGUACUGAGACACGGACCAGACUCCUACGGGAGGCAGCAGUGAGGAAUAUUGGUCAAUGGGCGAGAGCCUGAACCAGCCAAGUCGCGUGAAGGAUGACUGUCUUAUGGAUUGUAAACUUCUUUUAUACGGGGAUAACAAGAGCCACGUGUGGCUCCCUGCAUGUACCGUAUGAAUAAGCAUCGGCUAACUCCGUG